rnacentral:rRNA from 1 species
UACGUAGGGUGCGAGCGUUAAUCGGAAUUACUGGGCGUAAAGCGUGCGCAGGCGGUUUUGUAAGCCAGAUGUGAAAUCCCCGGGCUCAACCUGGGAAUGGCAUUUGGGACUGCAAGGCUGGAGUGCGGCAGAGGAGACUGGAAUUCCUGGUGUAGCAGUGAGAUGCGUAGAUAUCAGGAGGAAUACCGAUGGCGAAGGCAGGUCUCUGGGCUGACACUGACGCUCAUGCACGAAAGCGUGGGGAGCAAACAGG